CCUACGGGGUGCAGCAGUCGGGAAUAUUGCGCAAUGGAGGAAAGUCUGACGCAGUGACGCCGCGUGCAGGAAGAAGGCUUUCGGAUUGUAAACUGCUUUAGACAGGGAAGAAAAAAGAGAGUAGCUGUAAAAUAAGCUCCGGCUAACUACGUGCGAGCAGCCGCGGUAAUACGUAGGGAGCAAGCGUUAUCCGGAUUUAUUGGGGGUAAAGGGUGCGUAGGCGGGAAGUCAAGUUGGUUGUGAAAUCCCUAGGCUUAACUGAGGAACUGCAACCAAAACUAACUUUCUUGAGUGCUGGUGAGGAAAGUGGAAUGCCUAGUGUAGCGGUGAAAUGCUUAGAUAUUAGGAGGAACACCGGUGGCGAAGGCGACUUACUGGACAGUAACUGACGUUGAGGCACGAAAGUGUGGGGAGCAAACAGGAUUAGAUACCCGAGUAGUC
rnacentral:rRNA from 1 species